GGCAGUGUGGCAUAGUGGUUUGAGUAUAGAACUAGAACUCUAGUGAUUAGGGUUUGAUUCCCUGCUUGGCUA